GGUUAAGCGACUAAGCGUACACGGUGGAUGCCCUGGCAGUCAGAGGCGAUGAAGGGCGUGCUAAUCUGCGAUAAGCGCCGGUAAGGUGAUAUGAACCGUUAUAACCGGCGAUACCCGAAUGGGGAAACCCAGUGUGACUCGUCACACUAUCAUUAACUGAAUCCAUAGGUUAAUGAGGCGAACCGGGGGAACUGAAACAUCUAAGUACCCCGAGGAAAAGAAAUCAACCGAGAUUCCCCCAGUAGCGGCGAGCGAACGGGGAGGAGCCCAGAGCCUGAAUCAGCAUGUGUGUUAGUGGAAGCGUCUGGAAAGGCGCGCGAUACAGGGUGACAGCCCCGUACACAAAAGCGCAUGUGCUGUGAGCUCGAUGAGUAGGGCGGGACACGUGGUAUCCUGUCUGAAUAUGGGGGGACCAUCCUCCAAGGCUAAAUACUCCUGACUGACCGAUAGUGAACCAGUACCGUGAGGGAAAGGCGAAAAGAACCCCGGCGAGGGGAGUGAAAAAGAACCUGAAACCGUGUACGUACAAGCAGUGGGAGCACCCUUUGGGUGUGACUGCGUACCUUUUGUAUAAUGGGUCAGCGACUUAUAUUCUGUAGCAAGGUUAACCGAAUAGGGGAGCCGGAGGGAAACCGAGUCUUAAUUGGGCGUUAAGUUGCAGGGUAUAGACCCGAAACCCGGUGAUCUAGCCAUGGGCAGGUUGAAGGUUGGGUAACACUAACUGGAGGACCGAACCGACUAAUGUUGAAAAAUUAGCGGAUGACCUGUGGCUGGGGGUGAAAGGCCAAUCAAACCGGGAGAUAGCUGGUUCUCCCCGAAAGCUAUUUAGGUAGCGCCUCGUGAAUUCAUCUCCGGGGGUAGAGCACUGUUUCGGCUAGGGGGCCAUCCCGGCUUACCAACCCGAUGCAAACUGCGAAUACCGGAGAAUGUUAUCACGGGAGACACACGGCGGGUGCUAACGUCCGUCGUGAAGAGGGAAACAACCCAGACCGCCAGCUAAGGUCCCAAAGUCAUGGUUAAGUGGGAAACGAUGUGGGAAGGCCCAGACAGCCAGGAUGUUGGCUUAGAAGCAGCCAUCAUUUAAAGAAAGCGUAAUAGCUCACUGGUCGAGUCGGCCUGCGCGGAAGAUGUAACGGGGCUAAACCAUGCACCGAAGCUGCGGCAGCGACGCUUAUGCGUUGUUGGGUAGGGGAGCGUUCUGUAAGCCUGCGAAGGUGGCCUGUGAGGGUUGCUGGAGGUAUCAGAAGUGCGAAUGCUGACAUAAGUAACGAUAAAGCGGGUGAAAAGCCCGCUCGCCGGAAGACCAAGGGUUCCUGUCCAACGUUAAUCGGGGCAGGGUGAGUCGACCCCUAAGGCGAGGCCGAAAGGCGUAGUCGAUGGGAAACGGGUUAAUAUUCCCGUACUUGGUGUUACUGCGAAGGGGGGACGGAGAAGGCUAUGUUGGCCGGGCGACGGUUGUCCCGGUUUAAGCGUGUAGGCUGGUUUUCCAGGCAAAUCCGGAAAAUCAAGGCUGAGGCGUGAUGACGAGGCACUACGGUGCUGAAGCAACAAAUGCCCUGCUUCCAGGAAAAGCCUCUAAGCAUCAGGUAACAUCAAAUCGUACCCCAAACCGACACAGGUGGUCAGGUAGAGAAUACCAAGGCGCUUGAGAGAACUCGGGUGAAGGAACUAGGCAAAAUGGUGCCGUAACUUCGGGAGAAGGCACGCUGACACGUAGGUGAAGUGAUUUACUCACGGAGCUGAAGUCAGUCGAAGAUACCAGCUGGCUGCAACUGUUUAUUAAAAACACAGCACUGUGCAAACACGAAAGUGGACGUAUACGGUGUGACGCCUGCCCGGUGCCGGAAGGUUAAUUGAUGGGGUCAGCGCAAGCGAAGCUCCUGAUCGAAGCCCCGGUAAACGGCGGCCGUAACUAUAACGGUCCUAAGGUAGCGAAAUUCCUUGUCGGGUAAGUUCCGACCUGCACGAAUGGCGUAAUGAUGGCCAGGCUGUCUCCACCCGAGACUCAGUGAAAUUGAACUCGCUGUGAAGAUGCAGUGUACCCGCGGCAAGACGGAAAGACCCCGUGAACCUUUACUAUAGCUUGACACUGAACAUUGAGCCUUGAUGUGUAG
rnacentral:rRNA from 1 species